UAUUUAGCAUUGCAUCUAUUGUAAUUUUACCAAGAAUGUGUUUGCUCUUUCAGAACUCAGGCAGUUGUGCUGGACCUUCUGUACCUUAUACAGAAGAUGACGGUAAACUUUGAAGUUUAAGAGGUUCUGUCAUUUUGGUUAUAAGUACAAGAACUCAGGCAGUUGUGCUGGACCAUCUGUACUUCAUACAGGGGAUGACAGUAAACUUUCAAGUUUAAGAGGUAAAAUGUUCAGCGUUUUUGUUUGAUAUUGAAGCUUUUAUUUUUAUUAUUUGGCAAAACCAAUUACUUGUACCUAUAUUUUUACUAAGUGUUUACAGGAACACAUUUUGCUUCAGCAAUUUUGAAUUUUGUUAACAUGUAUUCAAACUAAAAGUACUGGGUUGAUGUGGGUGUUUUAUCUGGGUUUUUUUUAAGCUGCUACUGUAAUCUGUUAAAUGAAUAAAGCAGUUAUUUAUUAUUAUUAUUAUUAUUUAUUUUUACAACAUUUAAAAUGUUACAAG